GUAUGCACCUCUUGCGAAAUGAAAUUUCCUAUACAAAACCUAUGCAUAAAAAACGUCGCGAAAUGCUCGCGAAAAAAAUUUUCGUUUCCAUUUCGUAAGCGGUACGCAGCUCUCGCGAAAACGAUAACGAAAAAUGCAGUUAGCCGAGACACGGUUCGACAAACGAUAAGUUUCAUAAUACUUCCGCGAGAUAGCGCUGCUUUCUAUGCGCUGUCACCAAGGCAAACUUUUUCCUUGCGAAAUAAUGGUCAAUGGUAUUAUUUCGCACGGAGGCUCGCGAAAUUUUGACAGGUUGCAAUGCAAAAAUAUAAAAAAACACAAGAUUAGUAAUUUUUUGUAUUUUUUUUUCAUCGCGACCUGUCAAAAUUUUGUAGUUUUGAGAAUCAAUAUUUUGAAUUUGAAUGGCACACCCGAACAAAGCAGCCACAAGAGCAGCAUUUUUCGUCAGCAGCAGAAGCAGCAGCCAUCUAUCCACUUGAUAAGUUUUCAUCAACAACAACCAGAUGCUACAAAUCAGCUCAACUUGACUCAACAUCCUGGAUCUGGCAAUCAGCCAACCAACAUUAAAUCGAUACAACCGUAGCAGUACCAACAACUCCAAAUCCAGCAGCUGCCAACAAUCUCUCAAAAAAGAACCACAGCAAUUACAGCUCAGAACCAACAAAGCAACAAGAGCUUCUUUUACGAAUAAUGGACCCAACGGACACACUUUAUCGGCACAUUCUGUCGUAAAACUUGCCUGCCACUAUUCUUACCAGCGGUUACCUUCCUGAUGUAGAGAAAUCAGAGUCAAACACAAACGUCAUAUUACUGCCUUGGCUCCUACGGCCGAUGACAUGCUUACGCGAUUUGCGAUGCGGUAGCGGUAAGCGAAGCGAAUGCGUUUGACCUAUCUCUUUGGUGUGUGCAUAUAGAACGCGUAAUACUGUCAUAGUAAAAGCGGGGCGAACGCGGCAAAACACUAGGUUUGUUCCAGUACACGGAAGUUACUCCCUGUUGCUCCGGAGCAAAAAAUUCUUGCUCCUUUUCACUCCGGUUUGCUACCAAAAGAAGAAAAAGGGAAGAAGAUAAUACAGGAACAUUUUUCUCCCUGUUUGCUCCGGAGUACUUCCAGUUUCUCCUGGUACUGGAACAAACCUACUAUGACGCGUCCGCAAACGCUUCGCUUUCCGCUUCAGCUUGUCAUCGGCCUACCAGUUGCUUGCAUGAAAAUAUCGCUGCCUCCACAGUGCUCGUGAUUCCAUCCCAGCAGCUAGCUAGCAACCACAAUUCCAGUGCUUAUCGCCAGCAACAUCAGAAAAUUAAGAUUUCCCCUAGACCAUGACCAUCAUCCGACAGAUCGGUAGCAACAACGUUCAACUGACGGUAGAACCUGGCCAGCAACCGCAACUAGUGCAAUCGAUCCAACCCAAUCAGGGCCAAAUGUAGAAGACCAUUGGUCAACCGCAAAAAAAGAUACAUCAACAGCACCUUCAAACACAGUAGCAGCAGCAUACUGUACUGUACCACGCAGCGUGCAGGAGGACUUUUUUUAUUCAGUUGGUGCAGCAAGAUCGAACAGCAACCAUAGCGGAUACACAUCACCGAACACCAGCAACAUAAUGCCAUGGUAACCACCCAGCAGCAGAACACGGUGAUAAUGGGCCAACAGUAAAUACAACAUCAAGAUCCUCGGAAAGGACUUUCUCUUUCGAACAAACAUAAUGGAAGCAUACUCUACACGCGCGACAUAUUCAAUCGGGCCAACCGUGUGACUCGUUUGGAAAAAAGCGCUCAUCAUCAGUUUCAUGGCAGCGAAGUGAGCAGACAAAAGAAGGCGUUUUUUUCCGCAAGGUCGCUCUGGGCAAAAGUUCAGCCAAUUGCAAGGAAUAAACCACCGGAGUGACAGUAUCCGUGCUGUUUGGGACCUUUUUCCAUAUAUUGUAGCUUUUGAAUUUUAAUACCCGGUCGAAACGAUGGCAAGUGCUGCCGAUAACUGGGUCAAAAAGGCGGAGGGAGGAUCAGAAAAUUUCUGCACUCGGUGUUUUUUUUGUCAUAACCAACUAACCUAUUUUUGGAGCGAUAAUUUUUCCAUAGGUUUUGAAUUUUUCUUUUCAAUACAAAUAGGUUAUCGAUCUGAGUAUCCCUAAGGAUAAGGAACCAGAGCCGGCGGCUGACAGCCCAAAGAAAGAGAAUGCGGAAAAACCUUCUAGUUCACCGCCAGUAGAACCAGCGAUCAAAUUACUCCCGUAGAAACGGCUGCACCUGCAGUUUUGUUUUCGGUAGCUACAGAAAUUAAGACUUUAGCAGCUCCUGAAGAAAAAAAAGCUGCUAGCGAAAAUGGAGAAACAGCUUCCUCCAGAGGCAUUCAACCCGGCGGAUGCAAGUUUGCUAAUUAAACUUAUUCGCAAAGGUCUAGUAGAAUCAAAGCUGGAUCUGGGGGUGAAGGAUCCUUCUUCGCCGCUAUACUUGGUUAAAACUUUCGAAGCUUUGCACAUGAAUUCGGAACUGCUUCAGGGAGUCUAUGCUAUGGGUUUCAACGCUCCUUCCAAGAUUCAGAAGACGGCUCAACCUACUCUGUUGGCCGAUCCGCCACAGAACAUAAUCGCCCAGAGUUGGUCGGGAACAAGAAAAACCACUGCCUUCGUGCUGGCAAUGCUCAAUCGAGUCGAUCCGUUGAAAAACUAUCCGCAGGUGAUUUGCCUUUCCCCACGUAUGAACUGGCAAUUCAGAAGGGGAAAGUAGCUGCAAAACGGCAAAGUUUUGUGCGGAAAUCGAACUUGGUUAAACCGUUCGCGGUGAGAAGAUCGUCAAAGGGGCGAAGCUGACUAAUCAUAUCAUCAUCGGAACAGCCGGGCGUUCGACCUUAAGAAGAUUGCAAUUUUUGUACCGGACGAGGCGGGCGUUAUGAUCGCUGUUCUUUUUAGCCACGUACGAGCGGGAGGUGAUGGGUUUCGCCCAGUACAUCGUGACCAAUUCGAUCAUGAUUCUUCUGGUGCGGGAGCAAGAAUCACUCGAUAACACCAAACACUACUACGUCAAAUGCCGCAACCAGGACGAGAAAUAUCAAGCAAUUUCAAACAUGUACGGUGUGAUUACCGUCGGACAAGCGAUCAUUUUCUGUCAUAUGAUGUAUAGGACAGUUGUAAACUCCAAGUAAACUUAUUUUCGGCAUUGUUAAUCGAUCGAAACAGGCACGCAAAACGGCCGGUUGGACCAGGAUAAUCACUCAGUAGCGGUACUGUCCGGUGAUCUAACGGCGGAGCAACGGUUAGCCGUUCUGGACCGAUCCUGAGCCGGACUAGAGAAGGUAUUGAUUGCAACGAACGUUUUGUCUAGGGGUAUCGAUGUUGAACAGGUGACCAUUGUCAUCAACUUCGACCUGCCGAUGUAUUAGCAGGGACGAGCCGAUUGCGAAACGUAUCUACAUCGAAUUAGACGCACCGGUAGAUUCGGUAAGUGUGACUCAUUCUUGUGAUCCUAUAGAUUGUAUUUCUUCCCACUUCUUUAACAGAACGGAAUCACCAUCAACCUAGUGGGCAGUGAUCGAAGCAUGAUGAUUUGCAGAUCAAUCGAAAAACACUUCCGGAAAAAGAUUCAGUUGCUAGACGCGGAGAACUCGGACGAAAUUGAAAAGAUCGCACCGUAAAGUGUUUUCGACGAGCUACUGGUGAA